AACGAACGCUGGCGGCGUGCCUAAUACAUGCAAGUCGAGCGAGAAAAGGGGGGCAACUCCCUGAGUACAGCGGCGCACGGGUGAGUAACACGUAGGUAACCUCCCCUCGAGCCCGGAAUAACCUACCGAAAGGUGGGCUAAUACCGGAUAUGACCACGGGAGCUUCGACUCCUGCGGUGAAAGGUGGCCUCUACUUGUAAGCUACUACUCAAGGAUGAGCCUGCGUGCCAUUAGCUAGUUGGUGAGGUAACGGCUCACCAAGGCGAUGAUGGCUAGCUGGUCUGAGAGGAUGGCCAGCCACACUGGGACUGAAACACGGCCCAGACUCCUACGGGAGGCAGCAGUAGGGAAUAUUGCGCAAUGGGCGAAAGCCUGACGCAGCGACGCCGCGUGGGUGAUGAAGGCCUUCGGGUCGUAAAGCCCUGUCGAGGGGGACGAAUCGGUCACGACCUAAUACGUCGUGAUCCUGACGGUACCCCUAAAGGAAGCACCGGCUAACUCCGUGCCAGCAGCCGCAGUAAUAC
rnacentral:rRNA from 1 species